GAUAGUGUUAGGACUAUGUUAGAAUCUUCUCACUGUACUGUUGCCUGCUUACAAGAGACUAAAACUCAACACUUGUCAAGGCAACGUCUCCAUUCGUUGAUUUGCAUGGCAAGUAAUCUCUACUUGCCUGCUGAUGGAGUUAAAGGUGGCAUCCUCGUCUUGUUGGAUAACUCGCUUGUAGAUUUAGCACAACCUUCCUUAGCUCUUUAUUCCAUCUCGGCAGAUGUUCUUCUCAUACAGAGCAACCAGUACUUCAGACUUUCAGUGGUAUACGGGCCGUCAGAAGAUGGGGGGAAACCAGCCUUCCUACUGAAAUACAAGACAUCAGAUCACCUCAAGGGACACCGUGGGUUAUCCUUGGUGAUUUCAAUCUCAUCUACGAGGCCAAAGAUAAGAGCAAUAACAACCUGAACCGUCGUCUCAUGGGGCAGUUCUAAGCAGUUCUAAAUUCAUGUGAGCUUAAAGAAAUUCCUCUCCAAAAUAGGAAGUUCACCUGGAGCGAGGGACAGUCCGACGCUUAGCAAAUUAGACCGCUUUUUUUGCACGCAGGAGUGGGACCUCAUGUUCUCGUUGCAUACCCUGCAAGCUCUCUCCUCGUCCAUGUCCGAUCAUUGCCCCCCUGCUGCUAGCAAGUACGGCCGGACCACGCCGGCCGCCGAUGUUCCGGUUUGAGAAUUUUUGGCCACUCAUUCCAGGUUUCAUGCCAAUUGUUCAAGAUGCCUGGGCGCAACAACAACAUCACACAAAUCCCAUGCACCGGCUUGCUGCAUGCCUUCGUAGCACUGCUAAGGAAUUGAGGAAAUGGAGCAAAUCAAUUAUUAGUGAUGUAGCUUUACAACUUGCUCUAGCCAAUGAGGUUAUUUUGCAACUCGACAUUGCGCAAGAGAAUCGUCCACUCUCGGUGGAUGAACAAGAUCUUAGAAGAAAGCUAAAAAUCCGAGUCCUAGGUCUUGCGGCCGUAGACAAAGCAAGAAAACGUCAAGCUUCUAGAAUCACUUGGCUUAAAGUUGGAGAUGCAAGUUGAAGGACCGGAACGGCAACCGGAGGGGUUGAAUGAGUGCCUUUAAAAUUCUUCUCGGAGAAUAAGGUCUAUGUCCUAAUUGUCACUCAAAAACACACCUCGCGUCAAUUCGUCAAGACGACACAAGUUAACUCAUGAUAAGCUCACCCUAGGAAAGAUUUGACACGCUUAAGACAUAGCGGGAGCAAAGCAUAAAGUGACUCCAACAAGCUUGCACAAACGAGAUUAAGUAAGACCACUGCUAAUUACUUACUCAACUAAGCAUGCAAGGAAAAACGAUUAAUUUAAAGAGCUAAGCAUGAUUAUCAAAUAAGAGUUCAAAUUAAGUAGCUAAAGCAAGUAACAUUAAUUAACUAACUAAUUGCAAGAAUUAACGAAAAAAACGAGCUCACAGUGCUACCGUAGAUGAAGCUGGGCCUGCUGCUCCUGUCUCUCUUGACCGGCCUGCUGUGAAGCCACGGCCUGCUUUGCGCCAGCCUGGGCUGCCUGCUUCGCCUCUCCUGCUCGUGGGCCUGCACACUGCUGGGCUGGAUGGACCUGCUCUCGCUUCACUGGGCCGCUGGAUGCGCUGGCUUGGCC
rnacentral:lncRNA from 1 species